ACGGAGGGGGCAAGCGUUAUUCGGAAUUACUGGGCGUAAAGGGCGUGCAGGCGGGAGAGCAAGUCUGAUGUGAAAGCCCGGGGCUUAACCCCGGAAGGGCGUUGGAAACUGCUUUUCUUGAGUUCUGGAGAGGAAGGGAGAAUUCCCGGUGUAGAGGUGCAAUUCGUAGAUAUCGGGAGGAACAUCAGUGGCGAAGGCGCCCUUCUGGACCACAUCUGACGCUGAUACGCGAAAGCGUAGGGAGCAAACAG
rnacentral:rRNA from 1 species